AUGUUAUAUGUGUCAUACGAGACUGCCGGUAAAAGACCGGAGGAAGGUGAGGAUGAUGUCAAGUCAGCAUGACCUUUAUAUCCAGGGCUACACACACGCUACAAUGGUCUGUACAAUGGGUAGCCAAGCCGCGAGGCGGAGCCAAUCCUGAAAGACAGGCCUCAGUUCAGAUUGCAGUCUGCAACUCGACUGUAUGAAGCCGGAGUUGCUAGUAACCGCAGGUCAGCAAUACUGCGGUGAAUACGUUCCCGGGUCUU
rnacentral:rRNA from 1 species